rnacentral:rRNA from 1 species
UGGGGAAUAUUGCGCAAUGGGGGGAACCCUGACGCAGCAACGCCGCGUGAAGGAUGAAGGCUUUCGGGUUGUAAACUUCUUUGAUGAGGGACGAAAGAAAUGACGGUACCUCAAAAACAAGCCACGGCUAACUACGUGCCAGCAGCCGCGGUAAUACGUAGGUGGCGAGCGUUGUCCGGAAUUACUGGGUGUAAAGGGCGUGUAGGCGGGGAUGCAAGUCAGAUGUGAAAUGCCGGGGGCUUAACUCCGGAGCUGCAUCUGAAACUGUGUUUCUUGAGUGUCGGAGAGGAAAGCGGAAUUCCCAGUGUAGCGGUGAAAUGCGUAGAUAUUGGGAGGAACACCAGUGGCGAAGGCGGCUUUCUGGACGAUAACUGACGCUGAGGCGCGAAAGCGUGGGGAGCAAACAGGAUUAGAUACCCUGGUAGUCCACGCUGUAAACGAUGGAUACUAGGUGUAGGAGGUAUCGACCCCUUCUGUGCCGGAGUUAACACAAUAAGUAUCCCACCUGGGGGAGUAC